GGGAUAAUAGUAUAGUGGUCAGUACUUCUCGUUGUGGUGUCUCAGUGGGCCACAAAUCCGAGAGGACCCAGGUUCGAUUCCUGGUUAUCCCA